UACAGAGGUCCCAAGCGUUGUUCGGAUUCACUGGGCGUAAAGGGUGCGUAGGCGGUCGGGUAAGUCUGAUGUGAAAUCUUCGAGCUCAACUCGAAAAUGGCAUUGGAUACUAUUCGGCUGGAGGGUUGGAAGGGGGACUGGAAUUCUCGGUGUAGCAGUGAAAUGCGUAGAUAUCGAGAGGAACACCGGUGGCGAAGGCGAGUCCCUGGACAAUUCCUGACACUGAGGCACGAAAGCUAGGGGAGCAAACAGG
rnacentral:rRNA from 1 species